rnacentral:rRNA from 1 species
UGCGGAAGGAUCAUUAAAGAAAUUUAAUAAUUUUGAAAAUGGAUUUUUUUGUUUUGGCAAGAGCAUGAGAGCUUUUACUGGGCAAGAAGACAAGAGAUGGAGAGUCCAGCCGGGCCUGCGCUUAAGUGCGCGGUCUUGCUAGGCUUGUAAGUUUCUUUCUUGCUAUUCCAAACGGUGAGAGAUUUCUGUGCUUUUGUUAUAGGACAAUUAAAACCGUUUCAAUACAACACACUGUGGAGUUUUCAUAUCUUUGCAACUUUUUCUUUGGGCAUUCGAGCAAUCGGGGCCCAGAGGUAACAAACACAAACAAUUUUAUCUAUUCAUUAAAUUUUUGUCAAAAACAAGAAUUUUCGUAACUGGAAAUUUUAAAAUAUUAAAAACUUUCAACAACGGAUCUCUUGGUUCUCGCAUCGAUGAAGAACGCAGCGAAAUGCGAUACGUAAUGUGAAUUGCAGAAUUCCGUGAAUCAUCGAAUCUUUGAACGCACAUUGCGCCCCUUGGUAUUCCAGGGGGCAUGCCUGUUUGAGCGUCAUUUCCUUCUCAAACAUUCUGUUUGGUAGUGAGUGAUACUCUUUGGAGUUAACUUGAAAUUGCUGGCCUUUUCAUUGGAUGUUUUUUUUCCAAAGAGAGGUUUCUCUGCGUGCUUGAGGUAUAAUGCAAGUACGGUCGUUUUAGGUUUUACCAACUGCGGCUAAUCUUUUUUUAUACUGAGCGUAUUGGAACGUUAUCGAUAAGAAGAGAGCGUCUAGGCGAACAAUGUUCUUAAAGUUGA